rnacentral:rRNA from 1 species
CCUACGGGGGGCAGCAGUGGGGAAUAUUGGACAAUGGGGGGAACCCUGAUCCAGCCAUGCCGCGUGUGUGAAGAAGGCCCUCGGGUUGUAAAGCACUUUCAGUGAGGAAGAACGCCUGGUGGUUAAUACCCAUCAGGAAAGACAUCACUCACAGAAGAAGCACCGGCUAACUCCGUGCCAGCAGCCGCGGUAAUACGGAGGGUGCGAGCGUUAAUCGGAAUUACUGGGCAUAAAGCGCGCGUAGGUGGCUUGAUAAGCCGGUUGUGAAAGCCCCGGGCUCAACCUGGGAACGGCAUCCGGAACUGUCAAGCUAGAGUGCAGGAGAGGAAGGUAGAAUUCCCGGUGUAGCGGUGAAAUGCGUAGAGAUCGGGAGGAAUACCAGUGGCGAAGGCGGCCUUCUGGACUGACACUGACACUGAGGUGCGAAAGCGUGGGUAGCAAACAGGAUUAGAUACCCGGGUAGUC